rnacentral:rRNA from 1 species
GGCUCUUCUCCGUGAUACCGUCAUUAUCUUCUCCGGUGAAAGAGCUUUACAACCCUAGGGCCUUCAUCACUCACGCGGCAUGGCUGGAUCAGGCUUGCGCCCAUUGUCCAAUAUGCCCCACUGCUGCCUCCCGUAGGCCCCCCGUUGCCCCCGCCCCGCCCGCCGCGCGCGGCGGGCGGGGCGGGGGCACGGGG